rnacentral:rRNA from 1 species
ACGGGGUGCAGCAGGCGCGAAAACUGACCAAUGCGCGAAAGCGUGAGCCGGUCAAUCCAAGUGAUGACCCAUCGGUUAUCUUUUGUGAAGUGUACACAGCUUCAAGAAUAAUGAGAGGGCAAGACUGGUGCCAGCCGCCGCGGUAAAACCAGCUCUUAGAGUGGUGGGCAUGAUUAUUUGGCUUAAAGUGAGCGUAGCCGGACAGCGUAAGUCCCCCGUGAAAUGCCAGGUCUUAAGCCUGGCGCGGGCGGGGGAUACUGUGCGUCUUGGGACCGGGAUAGGUAUAAGGUAUGCGCUGGGUAGGGGUGAAAUCCGAUAAUCCAUCGCAGACCACCGGUGGCGAAGGCGUUAUACUGGAACGGGUCCGACGGUGAGGCUCGAAAGCUAGGGUCGCGAGCCGGAUUAGAUACCCGGGUAGUCCUAUGCUGUAAACGAUGCGCACUAAGUGUUAGGUAACGCAAGACGUUAUCUAGUGCCGAAGGAAACCGUUAAGUGCGCCGCCUGGAAGUACGUUCGCAAGAA